CCAGGCCGGACCGCUGGACCCGUGCAGAGGGGAGCCCACGUGACGUGGUUUAGCCCCAGCCGGCAGCUGGGUGCCACGCGCCGCUCACCCACCCCUCCCCCGGCGGGCUGGGGAAGAGAACGGAAAAACAACGGCAAAGCCUCGAGGGUUGGGAGAAGGGCAGUUUACUGGGACAGCAAGGGAGAGGGAAACAAUCAACAACAGUACUGAUAACAGAUAUUCACAAUGGGUGAUAACAAAGAACAAUUUACCGAUCCGACCGGACGCUCAGCCUGUCCCAGAGCCACACCAAACCCGCCCCUGCCCGACCAGCCCCCUUUUAUGGUGAGCAUGAUGUCACACGGUAUGGAAUAGCCCCCGGCCAGCUUGGGUCACCUGUCCUGGCUCUUUGUGAAAUUAACUCUGUCCUUGCCAGAACCAGGACACCACGCCAGGGCAGGAUUGCUGGCAGGACUUGUGACCCCGUGGGGGACCCCACGCUGGAGCAGUUUGCUCCUGAAGGUCUGCACCCCGUGAGAGGGACUCCAUGCUGGAGCAGGGGAACGAUGAGAGGAGUCCUCCCCCUGAGGCUGAAGAGGCGGCAGAAACACCGUGAGAUGAACUGACCGUAACCCCCACUCCCCGUCCCCCUGUGCCGCUGAGGGGGGGAAGGUUGAAGCCGGGAGUGAAGUUGAGCCCGGGAAGAUGGGAGGGGUGGGGGGAGGUGUUUUAAGAGUUGAUUUUAUUUUCUCAUUGCUCUACUCUGUUUUGCCUAGUAAUACAUUAGAUGAAUUCCCUCUCUCAGUUUGGUCUCUUUUGCUCGUGACAACAAUUAGUGAGUGAUCUCUCCCUGUCCUUAUCUCGACCCACAAGCAUUUCGUUAUGCCUUUUCUCCCCUGUUUGGUGAAUGAGGGGAGUGAGAGAGCGGCUCUGGUGGGCACCUGGCCCCCAGCCAGGCUCAACCCACCACAAGGGGAAGCUUCUAGCAGCUUCUCACAGAAGCCACCCCUGUAACCCCCCGCUACCAAAACCUUGCCACGCAAACCCAACACAUUGGGGUGGGGGGGAAGCGAUUUUUAGGGGCAAACGGUACCGAUUUGGGGUCGGCUUGGGAUCUUCUGAACCACAGGGUUCAGGACCAGACACCUUUGUUCGGUGCCAGCCCUUUACCAAGGGUUUAGGCGCUGCUCGUCGCCCCUCUUCCUAAUUUUUUUUUUUUGGGGGGGUGGGGUGGGGGUGUUUUUCCUUCCCUUUCUCCUAUUUUUAGGUUCAGGUGAAUCCCAAAUACAUCGUCCUGGAGUCGGACUUCACCAACAACGUGGUGAGGUGCAACAUCCAUUACACCGGGCGCUACGUCGCCACGACAAACUGCAAGAUUUCCCAAUCUUGAUGGGAGCGGGGCCGGAGGGACGUCACCUGCCCCAACCCCUGUCCCCCCCUCGAGAAAGUGCCUCAGCUGGCUCCUCUGGCCCACGGGAGACCCCGGAGCCCAUCAGCAGCUCCUCCACACCCCCCCCGCCCCCAAAACCCCCACCAUUUCUUUACGUUCAAAGGAGGGGAAGCGAGAAUGACUCCUUGAAAUAUUUUUUUAUACUUAACUUUUCUUUAACCUUUGGUUUUUUGGGGUUUUGGUUGUUUUUUUUUUUUUAAUUUCCUAAGGGAAACCGAUGCUAAGUUUUAGCCGGAAUAAAGGCCGGGGCCCGUAAA